rnacentral:lncRNA from 10 species
CGUUUUUGUAUUUUUAGUAGAGACGGGUUUCACUGCGUUAGCCAGGAUGGUCUCGAUCUCCUGGCCUCAUGAUCCGCCUGCCUCGGCCUCCCAAAGUGCUGGGAUUACAGGCUUGAGCCACAGCGCCCAGCCUCUUUCUUCCUUGAUGAAUAUAUUUCAAAGGGAUGGCUCCCAGGUCUUUGAGAAAGACAUCCCUGGGUUGUAAAUCCUGUGAGAGGCUUUUUUUUUUUUUUUUACUUACAUCUCAAAGGGGAAAAUGAAUUUUCAAUUCCAAGUUUUCUAACAUUAAAUGCCCUUAAAAAUGGAGAACAGGACCUAGGUUCAGGAAGAAGCUUAUCUAAUGUUUAGUCAAGCUGAGGGAACUAUUAUGGCCAUCCUUGCUAUCUUUAUCAGUUCCUCGUAGUGUUACUCUUCAUAAAAUAGAAUGAGGAGAAAGAAUUCAGCUCCUUCAAGAGAGACUAUUUCUGAGCAUAGGUGUGUGUGAAAGAGAAAGUGUGUUUGUGUGUGUUUGUGUGUGUGUGUAAGUGUAUGUGUGGCAUUUUGCAGUAAUGCACAAUGCUGUCAAAUAAAUAUAAAUUGGAAUUUCAUAUGAACAACAGAAAAACAAAACCAAGAGCAAGUGGAUAAAGAGUUCUUGGGAUAAGAAAGACUCAAUAAAAUGUUGCUUUUUGUUUACCAAAUUUGAUCAAAUAAAUUACUAAAUAAAAUAAUAUGGCUUUGUCAACACAUAUAGGGUUUUCUGGCAGUCCUUUUUAAGAAAAUAAUUCCCAUUUCUUUUUCAGUCUGUCUUCAAAAGAAAAGAUACGCCAUCUAAUCUCGAUGUAAGCUCUUAAUGUACCACAAAAAGCAAAUAAAUCCAAUGUCAUUCUUGAUUAAAUAAUCACCUUUUCAGGGCAAAGCCAAGAAGUGAUUUUCCCCCCUCCCUGCCACGGGAACUGUGACCUAAUUCUCAUUCCUAAUCACAGAAUCAAAGGAGAAAUUUAUUUCAAUGAGCUAGUCUGAAAGAGCUAUUUGCCAAAUGGCUUUCUUUCCAAUACUUAAUGAAAAGAUGCAUUUUGUACUACUUUCAAAAAGUGAUAUGGACAGGAGACGGAAAUACUGGGUAGAAAAGGGCAGUUCCCUGGCAAAGCCUCACCCUCAAGCCUGGAUACCUGCUGUCUUAAACGAAAACGAAAACAGGCAUUUCUGUGUUCAUGCUCCAAAAGUUAUCUUUUGGCCUGCCACACCCCCUAUCCUGCACCCAUAUGAAUCCCGAACCCCAGACUCCAGAAGCAGACCAGCAAGCCCGCAGACCAGCAGAAGGAUGGCAGAACGAUGUGGCAGAGAAAGGGAGAAGAGGAGGAACAUCUGAAUGCCAAAAUGAGUUCAGCUGGGGGCAGUCAGAGAGGAGUCCAGCCACUGGGCAGCCAGAAUCCAGGGGAGGAUCACCUUUCCACUUCAUCCCCUUCCUCUGCCUCCCCAUCCAUCCUGCUGAAAGCCACCUCCACCACUCAAUAAAACCUGCCAUUCAUCCUUGGAGUCCAUGUGUGACCUGAUUUUUCCAAGACACUGGACAAGAGCUCAGAUACAGAAAGCUAUCACCUUGGCCCUCUGCCCUUGUGAAAAGGCAGAGAGUUCAUUGAGCUGAUUAACACUCAAGCCAUCUGCAGACGGCAAAGCUGAAAGAGCAUUGUGGCUCACUCCUGCAAUCCCAGGACUUUGGGAGGCCAAGGCGGGUGGAUCACAAGGUCAGGAGUUCGAGACCAGCCUGGCCAACAUGGUGAAACCCCGUCUCUACUAAAAAUACAGAAAUUAGCUGGGCAUGGUGGUGUGCAAUCCCAGCUACUCGGGAGGCUGGCACAGGAGAAUUGCUUGAACCAGGGAGGCAGAAGUUGCAGUGGGCCGAGAUCACGCCACUGCACUCCAGCCUGGGUGACAGAGUGAGACACC